AAUCCAAUCUUCCCUGCAGCCCAUACCUCGUUCAAUUUUCAGCCCAUAGAAACCCAGAUCCAACAAUUCAUCUAACAAAUUAAUACCCUUACCCGACCCACUUCCUUUUCCCAACGUUAACAGGAAAGCGGUCAAAGCAAACAGGUUCACGCCAAGCACGAUCAUCAUCUCGUACGAGUACGCACAACCCUUUCCACGUUUCCAGUUGCUGCCUCUUUUGCAGGUCACAGGUUUUGUCCUUGCGAUGGCGAGAUCAAGAACUGCCAAGGACAUAGAGGUUGAUCCCGAUCGUCCAUCCUUUUCCCUUUUCCAGUUCAGAGUUAAAAUUCAAAGGAAAAAGAAGAAGUUGGUCAAUCCAAAAAGGGAGAAGUGUUUGGAUUGUACUUUCAUAUAAAUCGGAGGCAACCUAUGAGAAAAAUUAUUCAUCAACCAACAGACACACAGAGUAGUGUAUGAGAGGAUUGAAUUCACAUUUAAAUUGAAGAAGUGUGUCGAGGGAUAUACUUGUGUAUAAAAAAAGAUGUUAUGGGAGAAGUUUAAAUAUUUUCUAGUUUUAGGUUUUGUUCUCCGCAUAGAAGUGUUUUUUUAUUGAAAUAUCAAAAUUACCCCUAACAACAGUAA